rnacentral:rRNA from 1 species
CCUACGUGUGGCAGCAGUGGGGAAUAUUGCACAAUGGGGGAAACCCUGAUGCAGCAACGCCGCGUGAGUGAAGGAGUAUUUCGGUACGUAAAGCUCUAUCAGUAGGGAAGAAGAAAGACGGUACCUGACUAAGAAGCCCCGGCUAACUACGUGCCAGCAGCCGCGGUUAUAUGCAGGGGGCAAGCGUUAUCCGGAUUUACUGGGUGUAAAGGGAGCGUAGACGGAUGUGCAAGUCUGAAGUGAAAGCCCGUGGCUCAACCGCGGAACUACUUUGGAAACUGUAUGGCUUGAGUACUGGAGAGGCAGGCGGAAUUCCUAGUGUAGCGGUGAAAUGCGUAGAUAUUAGGAGGAACACCAGUGGCGAAGGCGGCCUGCUGGACAGAAACUGACGUUGAGGCUCGAAAGCGUGGGGAGCAAACAGGAGUAGAUACCCCAGUAGUC